CCUCUGGAAUAAGUUGUGGGCAAAUAAAAUGGACGUGAGCAUCAGUUGCGCCAGCCGUAAAGAUAUGACCUUCACCAGCAAGUGCCUCUGUAGAAGGACCAACAAUGAGACCAGGAGUAACACCUUCCAUUACAUCAGGGUUACCAGCUUUACCAAUAUUAACAAUUAUACCAUCCUUAAUACCAAUAUCAGCCUAAAGGAAAAAGAAAAAAAAUAUAAAUAUUUUUUUUUUAUUGAAAUCAAGAAAUUUUGUUUAACUAUAUUAUAACAUAAAUCACCUUGAUGAUGCCAGUAUGAUCAACAAUUACGGCGUUUGUGAUAACCAAAUCCAAAGCAUCAUCAGAAGAUAUAGAAGUAGCUUGCCCCAUUCCUUCUCUUAA
rfam:Rhizophagus irregularis DAOM 181602 strain DAOM 197198 GLOINscaffold_9501_Cont9486, whole genome shotgun sequence.